rnacentral:rRNA from 1 species
UACGAAGGGGGCUAGCGUUGCUCGGAGUUACUGGGCGUAAAGGGUGUGUAGGCGGUUGUUUAAGUUUGGUGUGAAAUCUCCCGGCUCAACUGGGAGGGUGCGCCGAAUACUGAAUGACUUCGAGUGCGGGAGAGGAGAGUGGAAUUCCUGGUGUAGCGGUGAAAUGCGUAGAUAUCAGGAGGAACACCGGUGGUGUAGACGGCUCUCUGGACCGUAACUGACGCUGAGACACGAAAGCGUGGGUAGCAAACAGG